UACGUAGGGGGCUAGCGUUGUCCGGAAUCAUUGGGCGUAAAGCGCGUGUAGGCGGUCCGGUAAGUCCGCUGUGAAAGUCGGGGGCUCAACCUCGGAUGCCGGUGGAUACUGUCGGGCUUGAGUACGGAAGAGGCGAGUGGAAUUCCUGGUGUAGCGGUGAAAUGCGCAGAUAGUCAAGGAGGAACACCAAUGCGAAGGCAGCUCGCUGGGACGUUAC
rnacentral:rRNA from 1 species